GUGGGGAAUAUUGGACAAUGGGCGCAAGCCUGAUCCAGCCAUGCCGCGUGUGUGAAGAAGGCCUUCGGGUUGUAAAGCACUUUUGUUGGGAAAGAAAUCCUGUCGGCUAAUACCCGGCGGGGAUGACGGUACCCAAAGAAUAAGCACCGGCUAACUUCGUGCCAGCAGCCGCGGUAAUACGAAGGGUGCAAGCGUUACUCGGAAUUACUGGGCGUAAAGCGUGCGUAGGUGGUUCGUUAAGUCAGAUGUGAAAGCCCCGGGCUCAACCUGGGAAUUGCAUUUGAUACUGGCGGACUAGAGUGCGGUAGAGGAGAGUGGAAUUCCCGGUGUAGCAGUGAAAUGCGUAGAGAUCGGGAGGAACAUCAGUUGCGAAGGCGGCUCUCUGGACCAGCACUGACACUGAGGCACGAAAGCGUGGGGAGCAAACAGGAUUAGAAACCCUUGUAGUCC
rnacentral:rRNA from 1 species